AGAGUUUGAUUAUGGCUCAGGAUGAACGCUAGCUACAGGCUUAACACAUGCAAGUCGAGGGGCAGCAUGAAACUUAGCUUGCUAAGUUUGAUGGCGACCGGCGCACGGGUGAGUAACACGUAUCCAACCUACCGUUUACUACGGGAUAGCCUUCUGAAAAGGAGAUUAAUACCGUAUGGUAUUCUAAAGUUUCAUGACAUUAGAAUUAAAGGUUUACCGGUAAUCGAUGGGGAUGCGUUCCAUUAGAUAGUAGGCGGGGUAACGGCCCACCUAGUCAGCGAUGGAUAGGGGUUCUGAGACGGAAGGUCCCCCACAUUGGAACUGAGACACGGUCCAAACUCCUACGGGAGGCAGCAGUGAGGAAUAUUGGUCAAUGGGCGAGAGCCUGAACCAGCCAAGUAGCCGUGAAGGAUGACUGCCCUAUGGGUUGUAAACUUCUUUUAUAAAGGAAUAAAGUGGUCCACGUGUGGAUUUUUGUAUGUACUUUAUGAAUAAGGAUCGGCUAACUCCGUGCCAGCAGCAGC
rnacentral:rRNA from 1 species